UGGCGACCGGCGCACGGGUGAGUAACACGUAUCCAACCUGCCGAUGACUCGGGGAUAGCCUUUCGAAAGAAAGAUUAAUACCCGAUGGCAUAGUUCUUCCGCAUGGUAGAACUAUUAAAGAAUUUCGGUCAUCGAUGGGGAUGCGUUCCAUUAGCUUGUUGGCGGGGUAACGGCCCACCAAGGCAUCGAUGGAUAGGGGUUCUGAGAGGAAGGUCCCCACAUUGGAACUGAGACACGGUCCAAACUCCUACGGAAGGCAGCAG
rnacentral:rRNA from 1 species